rnacentral:ncRNA from 2 species
CUCUUAUCACGAGCAGGCUGAGGGAUUUGGCCCUUUGAAGCCCAGCAACCGACCGUAAUUCCAUUGCAAAAUGGGGCGCAUCCAGCGCCGGGAUUUAUUCCCUCUAAGGCACGGUGCUAAUUCCAACAGAAAGAAAUCUUUCUGAGAGAUAAGAG